CGCCUAUAACAAAGUGAGUGUCUUUUACGUAAGGAUACCAAGCCUUUCUGUGCUGCUACACACUGAAACUGCUGCCGUCCACUGAUGGCACAACCCUUCACCGGUUUUGAGCUCACCUUCAUAGCCAUCGCCUUCAUCAUCUUCUCCUUCUUCAUUUUAAUUUCCGUCUGCAUCCAGCCCGAAGCUCCGCUCCCGCCGGAAGAUAGCGGCGUAUGUGAAGUGCCCAAGAAGAAACUAACACCGAAGAAAAAGUCGAAGAAGAGAGUGAUCACUAAAGUACCGAUCAGAAGGCCAUGAAGUC
rnacentral:lncRNA from 1 species